AGAGUAAAUUGAAUAGUCGCUGGUAGCUUCCGAAAGGAACUACGAGAGGAAAGUCCGGGCUCCAUAGAGCAAAGAUGCUAGAUAACGUCUAGUAGGGGCAACCCUAAGGAAAGUGCAACAGAAAAUAACCGCCUAUUUUAGGUAAGGAUGAAAAGGUGAGGUAAGAGCUCACCGCCUUUAUGGUGACAUAGAGGGCUGUGUAAACCCCAUCUGGAGCAACACCUUGUAAAGAAGAUUAAACCUGCUCGGUGCCUUCUUGAUUUGCGUGGCUUGAAAUAUAUAGUGAUAUAUAUUCUAGAUAAAUGACUAUUUUAAAAGACAGAACCCGGCUUACAGAUUUACUCUAUUA
rfam:Clostridium sp. CAG:575 genomic scaffold, scf169